GGACGAACGCUGGCUGUCGUGCCUAAUACAUGCAAGUCGAGGGAGCGGAACUAACUGAUUUGCUUCUGUUAUGACGUUCCGAAAGCGAGCGGAGGAUGGGUGAUUCACCCUGGCGGAACCUGCCCCAUAACCUGGGAUACCACUUGGAAACAGGUGCUAAUACCGGAUGAUAAAGCGAAUCGCAUGAUCAGCUUUUAAAAGGCGGGGAAGGCUGUCCCUCUGAUAUGGCCCCGCGGUGCAUUACCUCCCACGUAAGGUAAAGGCUUACCAAGGCGAUGAUGCAUAGGCGAGUUGAGAGACUGAUCGGCCACAUUGGGACUGAUACACGGCCCAAACUCCUACGGGAGGCAGCAAUGGGGAAUCUUCCACAAUGGACGCAAGUCUGAUGGAGCAACGCCGCGUGAGUGAAGAAGGUUUUCGGAUCGUAAAGCUCUGUUGUUGGUGAAGAAGGAUUUAGGUAGUAACUGGCCUUUAUUUGACGGUAAUCAACCAGAAAGUCACGGCUAACUACGUGCCAGCUCCCGCGGUAAUACGAUUGUGGCAAGCGUUGUCCGGAUUUAUUGGGCGUA
rnacentral:rRNA from 1 species